AUUGAACGCUGGCGGCAGGCCUAACACAUGCAAGUCGAACGAGUGGCGGACGGGUGAGUAAUGUCUGGGAAACUGCCCUCCUUUUUGGGAUAAGCCUUGGAAACGGUAGCUAAUACCGCAUACCAUCGGAUGUGCCCAGAUGGGAUUAGCUAGUAGGUGGGGUAACGGCUCACCUAGGCGACGAUCCCUAGCUGGUCUGAGAGGAUGACCAGCCACACUGGAACUGAGACACGGUCCAGACUCCUACGGGAGGCAGCAGUGGGGAAUAUUGCACAAUGGGCGCAAGCCUGAUGCAGCCAUGCCGCGUGUAUGAAGAAGGCCUUCGGGUUGUAAAGUACUUUCAGCGAGGAGGCGUUACUCGCAGAAGAAGCACCGGCUAACUCCGUGCCAGCAGCCGCGGUAAUUC
rnacentral:rRNA from 1 species